rnacentral:rRNA from 1 species
CUACGGGAGGCAGCAGUGGGGAAUCUUAGACAAUGGGCGCAAGCCUGAUCUAGCCAUGCCGCGUGAGUGAUGAAGGCCUUAGGGUCGUAAAGCUCUUUCGCCUGUGAUGAUAAUGACAGUAGCAGGUAAAGAAACCCCGGCUAACUCCGUGCCAGCAGCCGCGGUAAUACGGAGGGGGUUAGCGUUGUUCGGAAUUACUGGGCGUAAAGCGCACGUAGGCGGAUCAGAAAGUUAGGGGUGAAAUCCCGGGGCUCAACCUCGGAACUGCCUCUAAAACUCCUGGUCUAGAGUUCGAGAGAGGUGAGUGGAAUUCCAAGUGUAGAGGUGAAAUUCGUAGAUAUUUGGAGGAACACCAGUGGCGAAGGCGACUCACUGGCUCGAUACUGACGCUGAGGUGCGAAAGUGUGGGGAGCAAACAGGAUUAGAUACCCUGGUAGUCCACACCGUAAACGAUGAAUGCCAGUCGUCGGCAAGUAUACUUGUCGGUGACACACCUAACGGAUUAAGCAUUCCGCCUGGGGAGUACGGUCGCAAGAUUAAAACUCAAAG